UAGGAGUUGAACAACAUGGAUAAUGCAAAC
rnacentral:piRNA from 1 species